GAUGAACGCUGGCGGCGUGCCUAAUACAUGCAAGUCGAGCGAACAGACGAGGAGCUUGCUCCUCUGACGUUAGCGGCGGACGGGUGAGUAACACGUGGAUAACCUACCUAUAAGACUGGGAUAACUUCGGGAAACCGGAGCUAAUACCGGAUAAUAUAUUGAACCGCAUGGUUCAAUAGUGAAAGACGGUUUCGCUGUCACUUAUAGAUGGCUCCGCGCCGCAUUAGCUAGUUGGUAAGGUAACGGCUUACCAAGGCAACGAUGCGUAGCCGACCUGAGAGGGUGAUCGGCCACACUGGAACUGAGACACGGUCCAGACUCCUACGGGAGGCAGCAGUAGGGAAUCUUCCGCAAUGGGCGAAAGCCUGACGGAGCAACGCCGCGUGAGUGAUGAAGGUCUUCGGAUCGUAAAACUCUGUUAUUAGGGAAGAACAAAUGUGUAAGUAACUAUGCACGUCUUGACGGUACCUAAUCAGAAAGCCACGGCUAACUACGUG
rnacentral:rRNA from 1 species